rnacentral:sRNA from 1 species
AGGAUGAUGCUGAAAGGAAUAACAAGGCUUAUCUCUAGGAUCCAUAAGUUGGACCCUGGGCGUUUUUUACACAUGGGGACCCAGGCUCGCCAAAGCAUUGCUGCUCACCUAGAUAACCAGGUUCCAGUUGAGAGUCUGAGAGCUAUUUCCCGCACCAAUGAGAAUGACCCGGCCAAGCAUGGGGAUCAGCACGAGGGUCAGCACUACAACAUCUCCCCCCAGGAUUUGAAGACUGUAUUUCCCCAUGGCCUUCCUCCUCGCUUUGUGAUGCAGGUGAAGACAUUCAGUGAAGCUUGCCUGAUGGUAAGGAAACCAGCCCUAGAACUUCUGCAUUACCUGAAAAACACCAAUUUUGCUUACCCGGCUGUACGAUAUCUUCUGUAUGGAGAGAAGGGAACAGGAAAAACCCUCAGUCUUUGCCAUGUUACUCAUUUCUGUGCAAAACAGGACUGGCUGAUACUACAUAUUCCAGAUGGUAAGAACUUCCUGUUGUUUCUUCUCUCUGUUAGGUUUAGUUAUCCUGUUACCGUGGUAGCCUUGCAGCUUUAAUUUUCUGUUCUUUUUUUUUUUUUUU